CGGGGGGGGCCGGCACAGCGGCACCGGGGGGGUCCCGGGCAGGGACGGAGCCUGCAGCCUGGUCUGGCCCUUCUCGUGCCGAAGUUCGGACGGGUCCAGAUCACCUCCUCUAGCAAUAGUACGGGCACAAUCACGGAACGAAACCUGGCGCAGCCUCACGUUACUAGACAAAUAUUUGCUGUUUGAAUUCUGGAUGUAUUUCUCUCCGUGGUUACAGAGAAGCAGUGGAGCAUUUGAAGCACAUGUGCUUCCUGACCUUUUAUACAAGAGGGAUUUUGCAGUUGAUUACUGUAAUAUCUUUCAUUGUGUGAUUCUACUACAUUUUUCUUCUUUUUUUUUUUUUUUUUUUAAUAGCUUAAUUUGCCAGUGCUGAGAAGCCCCCAUCCUUCUCUGUUAUUUAAGAAAAAAAAUGAGUAGAUCUUUAACAUUACCAGCAACAUUUUUAUCUGAAAUCUCUGGAUGACUCUGAGGUGGCCAAUCCACUGGGCUCCCCACUGGGGAGCACUUACACUCCUGCUGCCACUGAAGUCAGUGCCAGUGCUGCCACUUAGACAAUAUAUUGCUGCUUUAUAAUAUAUAAAAUAAUAUAAACCAAAAA